AGGCUAAGUCUUAUUUUGCAGAAGGAGAAUUAGAACAAGCUUUCAUACUCUACAACAAGUUUGCUACUCUAUUCAUUGAGAAACUUCCAAAGCAUCCUGAAUACUCCAGGGCUCCAGCAACAGAGAAGCAAAGAGUAAAGAAACUAGU